rnacentral:rRNA from 1 species
AUUGAACGCUGGCGGCAGGCUUAACACAUGCAAGUCGAGCGGUAACAGAGAGAAGCUCGCUUCUCUGCUGACGAGCGGCGGACGGGUGAGUAAUGCCUAGGAAUCUGCCUAGUAGUGGGGGAUAACUUGCCGAAAGGUAAGCUAAUACCGCAUACGUCCUACGGGAGAAAGGAGGGGACCUUCGGGCCUUUCGCUAUUAGAUGAGCCUAGGUCGGAUUAGUUGGUUGGUGAGGUAAUGGCUCACCAAGACCGCGAUCCGUAACUGGUCUGAGAGGAUGAUCAGUCACACUGGAACUGAGACACGGUCCAGACUCCUACGGGAGGCAGCAGUGGGGAAUAUUGGACAAUGGGGGGAGCCCUGAUCCAGCCAUGCCGCGUGUGUGAAGAAGGUCUUAGGAUUGUAAAGCACUUUAAGUUGGGAGGAAGAGCAGUUAACUAAUAUUUGACUGUUUUGACGUUACCGACAGAAUAAGCACCGGCUAACUUCGUGCCAGCCGCCGCGGUAA